rfam:Schistosoma curassoni strain Dakar, Senegal genome assembly, scaffold: SCTD_scaffold0012772
AUUCAUCUGAUGAGUCCCAAAUGGGGCGAAACGCGCAUACUGGAU